AUGGCUCAUGUGAGUCUCAGUAACACUCCUGCUGAUUAUUUGACAUCUCAAAUACGGCUUGUUCUCAGUUUCAGCAAGAUCUGGGCCCAGACACGAGCACCUUGGAGAGCAUUUCACAGGCCACCCGUCCGUCAUUCAGCGAAUUUAAACCACAGCACCACUAAACCAUCAGACUCACAGCAUCUGCUCUGUCUGCAGUUAUUUACUUGCAUUCCUGCAACAGUUGGAUGUGGUGAACAAGAGGACAACUGUCUGCGCUCUCGUGACCUCUGAGUGUGUGUGUGUGUGUGUAUGGGACGGGCAUCUCUUAUCAUGACACACUGGGUCAGAUGUGAAUUCUUUGUGGUCAAACAGAUGACUCUCGUACAAACUCAACAUGUUCUCAGCUGCCGUGUUUCCCAAAAAGAUGGUUUGGAAAAGAAUGAUAAAAUCUCAAAUAUAUAAAUACAUUAGGGCUGUCAAUCGCUUUUUUAUCUGUUCUAAAUGUACCUUAAAUUAAUACUUUUCAAGUUUUUAAUACUCUAAUCAACAUGGGCAUGGGCAAAUAUGGAUGUUUUAUGCAAAUGUACGUAUGUUUAUGAUUAGUGAAACCAUAGUCUGCAUAGAAUAGACGUGUCAAAGGUCAUAGAUGUUUUUCAGAGAAUGUAUUAGUAUUUAAAUGACUUUCCAGAUAUUUGUCCUGAUGUAUAUUCAAAUGCACGCAGAUGACAAAACAAAAGAAAAGGUGGCACAAAAAUGAAAAAUGAUUUUAGACUGGUUUACUCAACUUUUACUUCGGAAAAGUGCCUGUGUGUAUUUUAAAACUAAACCGGAUAUAUUAGUUAAUGGUGGAAAAUGACAAAUUGUACCAGAUUUUAAAUAUUUUGGAGUUAUUUAAGAUUCUCAUUUAACAUCUGAAAAGCAUGUUUGAAAAGUAGUCUGUGCAGUGACACCUCAACUUAGACAUUUUACACUUACACGGAGUCAACUUUCAAUAGAAGCUUCAAGAGUCUUUUUGAAUUCUUUGAUCUUUUUUCAUUUUUCCUGUUGAUUUACUUCAUGGUCACAAGCAGGAACAUCCACUCUUAGACCUUUAAACGUGCUUUUAAAAAGAAACCCAACAGAUAUCAUCAUUGUUUCAUAACCAAUAAGUACAUUUUCUUUUCUUUCGACAAUUUUGUUAUGUUACAAUUGUUGUAAAAUUGUUAUGAUCUUGCACCUUCACCCUUGAAAGAAUUUGUUUUCUCUUGUACUGAACAUAUAAGACAAACUAGAGCAUCGUCAAGAGGUGAUUGGUGAUUUUUUUGGUCACUCGUUAUUCAUUCACUCGUUUGGCAAUGCACCAACAGCGGAAUUUUAGUCUGAUUUUUAUUUUUUUUAAUGUUCAUCUAAGUGACGUUUCUUUCUAUUUUUAAGGAGUCAUUGGAUGCUACAUGCACUUUUACAAGUUGUUUAGCUUUGAAAUUAAAUAUAUGUGUUGGCAGUGUGUGUACACAACCACCCUUUAAUGAUAAAAAUCCACCCCUAGUGUUGUUGUUGUUGUUUUUUAAUCUCGUUAAAUCAUUUCCCCUUUCUCAAAUCAAGCCGAUCUCAGACGCCUGGCUGUGUGACCCCUUCAAAAGAAUAUACAGGAAAAUAUAACUUAAAAUUCAUGUAAAGAAAAAUUUACUAGCUCUAAAUCUAUCUUUUCUUUAUUCAGAGUUGAUCCAAGUACAUGCAAAACCUAAAGCAGUGAAAACUGCAUCUCUAUAUUCAUAUAUGUCCAUGGACUCCAUGCACUUAAGAUGAAAAAAACUACUAAACCAUAGUUUAACCGUGGUAUUUGUAGUAAAACUGUGGUUAUACAAUUCUUUCUUUCUUUCUUUUUGUUUUUGUAAUUGUACUGCCUUUAAUGGUUUGCUGUUUUUGUAUAGGCCCAACACAUAGGCCUACUGUUAAAUAAUAAUAAUAAUAAUAAUAAAAAAAAAAGAUAAAAAGAAAUCA
ensembl:lncRNA